AGAUAGGUAGAUCGGUGCGCGUGCACGUAGUAAUAGUAGGCUACGGGUAGAAAGAGAAAUAUAUAGAUCGUGUUUCGCUGUAUGUGUGUGUUAUAUCUGUACGUAUAUAUAAUGUGCGUGGCCUAGGAAGAGCAAGAGAGAAAUGGCUAGGAUUCAACGGAAGAGCGCGAACGCGUACGACGAAGACUUAGCCGAAAUUGACGGUCGUUCGCUGCGUUUGGAUCAUCGCAUAGCGUCGUGACAAACGUGUCGUAUAUACCACCGACGAAUGGAUGGACACACACGUUGGGUUGAAUUUUCGACGGCCGCGUUUUAGUUGUUUGUCGCGUUGUGCAGCGGCGCUCACGACGUUGGGACGCCCACCACCUGUAGUGCUCACCCUCUUUUCCUCGCGGCCAACCGUCCUUCCGCGCGCGCCAUAGGCGCGCGCACUCGCGCUAUGUCGUCCUUUCGGCCCGCUUCCCCUUUCAUGCUGUACGUUCCGAUCGAGUGGGGGAAACGAAUUUUAAAUUCACGUCUAUGUUGUCGUUGUCAUCGCGAGUCUUUGUCAUCGUCCUAUAUUAUGUGCUGUAAUGCGGUUCACCUGACGCUGGGUGGUAAACUACAACGGAAAUCGUGUUUAUAAACAUAACCACAAACAGAGAGCUACGUGACAGGUUCGCCGAGUCAUUGUGUUCGAGUUAAGGGCAGGCACGUACGUGGCCGACCAAGCUGGAGAUAUACGACGAACGAAUAUCCGGAAGGGGCGGUCUGAAACUUUGGACUUUGUCCAUCGUGAAGGGAGAACGAAGUGCCCCUGUCUCUAUCGUAACGCGCUGCUGCACGUGCACGCUGACAAACAGGCCUUCCUCUAGGGCCUAGUGACCGAUGGGGCUCGGAGUAUAAACUACGAGAUUGAGGAAGGGUUAUUCUCCAAGGGGAUACAGCGACAAUGCUCGAAAUCGUAACGUUUUACGGGAAAGAUCAAUGAUGAUGUAUUUCAAGAUCGU